GUCGAGCGGACCGGGCGGAAGCUUGCUUCCGCUUGGUUAGCGGCGGACGGGUGAGUAACACGUGGGUAACCUGCCCGUAAGACCGGGAUAACUCCGGGAAACCGGAGCUAAUACCGGAUAACACCGAAGACCGCAUGGUCUUUGGUUGAAAGGCGGCUUCGGCUGCCACUUUCGGAAGGGCCCGCGGCGCAUUAGCUAGUUGGUGAGGUAACGGCUCACCAAGGCGACGAUGCGUAGCCGGCCUGAGAGGGUGACCGGCCACACUGGGACUGAGACACGGCCCAGACUCCUACGGGAGGCAGCAGUAGGGAAUUUUCCGCAAUGGACGAAAGUCUGACGGAGCGACGCCGCGUGAGAUAAGAAGGUCUUCGGAUUGAAAAGCUCUGUUGAUAGGGAAGACGAAGACCGUCGAACACCGC
rnacentral:rRNA from 1 species